UCGUCUGAGAGCACCACUUCAAAAUUCGGCGUGACUGUUUAUUUCUCUGGAUUCUGACCUGGGCUACAGAGCACUGUUUUCUCAGCACUGUCUCAUUUGGCAUGUUUAAGCCCCAAUUAAAUCAGCAAGAGUUAAAAAUGAGACACUGAGGUUGGACAAUGUGGACUUAGGCCGAUGCUUAGCUGAAGGUCAUCGACACAGCUACAGAGACCUACCACAAACUGGUCUCCUGGAGGCGCUUUUCGUUUAUACCGUGCGCACGUCUGCACGUAAACAUGAAACUUGGGCAUAUCCUACCCAAAUUCUAGAUCAAUUCAUGUCAUAGCUCAGUUUGAUGAUUUCUGAUCAGUCUGUUAUGCUGGAGUCGAUGUUUUGAGGAUUCAUUGCUUGUAAAACAGCAGCUACAGCUACAAACGUCUAGUCAGGAUGAUGGAGGCAGAGAUUAUCCCUCAUGGUUCAUCGUAUAAAAUAAACAGGUCUGCAACAAAUGAAGGAGUUACAGCAACACAGACUUUUACUCCAAGGCAGUAUCAGGUUGAAUUGCUAGAUGCUGCAUUGGAUCACAACUCAGUUAUCUGUCUUCAGACGGAUACCAGCAAAACAUUCAUUGCUGUGAUGUUGAUGAAGGAGCUGUCAAAGGCCCUACGCUUGCCCUUGCAGGAAGGCGGCAAGAGAAUGAUGUAUCUUGUGAACGAUGUGAGCACCGUUCUGCAACAAGCUAGUGUCAUCCGGGAACACACGGAUCUAUCUAUUGGGGAAUUUAUAAGUUGUUCGUCUGUUGAUGAUCACUUCAGUGUGGCAGAGUGGAAACAAAAGUUUGUCCUGUGCCAAGUAAUCAUCACAACAGCCAAGGUAUUCUUAAAAGUACUUGAAGCCAGAUUGGUAUGUCCUUCUCAGCUCAAUUUGUUGAUAUUUGAUGAGUGCCACCUUGCCACUGACAAACACCCUUAUUGUGAGAUAACGAGGACUCUUAGCGAACGGACUGAUUUGUCUUGCCUUCCUCGUAUCAUGGGGAUGACUGCCUCCAUUCUUCACAGCAAAUGUGAGCCGGAGACUUUGGAAAAGAAACUCAAAGCGCUUGAGCAAACUCUGAAGAGUGUUGUGGAGACAUACUCCAGCGGCUGCCUUACUAGGUUUUGUGCUAAACCCAAAGAAGCAAUUGUCGCCUGUAAGGUGGAAGAAGGGUUCAAGAAUAUAAGCAAGCUGGUGCAUAAUGUUUUAAAUGAAUCGUUACUCUUCAUGCAAGAGUGCAGUGUGCAAUAUAAUGCAGUAGAAGGUGAUCCUUUGAUGCCUGUGGAGCGGGCAAUCAGAGAAUGCCUCAUGACCUUUGAAGCCAUAGGUCCAUUAGGAUUAAGGAUAAUGGUUCCAAUGCUGUUGAAGAAGCUUCAGAGAAUUGAAAAGCGUGCAUCAAAUUCCCUGAGUAAGCUCAUACUCCAUUACGGUUGUACUCAGCUUCGCUUGGCAAGAAAGAUUUGUGAAAGUUCCAUCGUGGAACUAGAGGAUCCACUUGAUUUGAGACUGACAACUCCAAAGGUACGUCGCCUUCUUGAAGUACUGAAAGAAUUUCAACCAAGUGAGGAAUCAGAGGCUGGCUUUGAAAUCCAGGAAACUGUGAGGCGUCCUAACAGAACAUUAGGGGGUGGAAUUUUGCAUAAAAUGCAUAAUGAGAGGUUGACGAGUAACAGACUACAUCCCGUAUACAGCUAUGAUGAUGAGGAGGAGAGCAAUUCAGAUGACGAAGACCAUGACAAGGAAGAAAAUACCGAUGCACAGGGUGAAACCAACAUGUAUGGCAUUGUCCUUGUGAAUCGCCAUUUCCUAGCAUUAGUCCUGGACAAAUUGGUGCACAAACUACAAAGGAAGGAUCCUGUAUUGGCAUUCAUCAACAGCAGCUGCAUUGUUGGUCAUCACCAGGGAGGUGUAGAGGUGUUGGGUGUGACAAAGGAACAGCAGUUUAAGAAACAAGAGGAAAUCUUAAGGAGGUUCCGACGACAUGAGAUAAACUUGCUGUUUGCUACAAGUGCACUUGAGGAAGGUGUCGAUGUUCCCAGGUGUAACUUGGUGAUUCGCUUUGAUGUUCCUGAUCACUAUCGGUCCUAUGUCCUUUCCAAGGGGCGUGCUCGGGCACCCAACUCACAUUACAUUAUGUUGGUUGAAGAAGCAAAUCUGGAGCCAUUCACUAGGGAGCUUGGUAACUUUCAGGAAAUUGAUAAGAUCCUACAAAGGAAAUGUCACCAUAGAGAGCAGCAGUGUUGGGAUGAAACAGAUCUCCAGGAGGCAGAUUCUCUUUGUGCUCCAUACAGACCAAACAAGGCAGAAGAUGCUGGCAUGGUAACCAUGACAACAGCCAUCUCACUUGUCAAUAGAUAUUGUUCUAAGCUUCCUAGUGACACCUUCACUCAUCUCUCUCCUAAGUGCCACACAGCCCCCAUGCACACUGGUACAGGCCCUGUAAUGUACCAAUCACAGAUAUUCCUACCGAUCAACUCACCUAUUCGGGAUCCCAUCCAGGGCCCUCCAAUGCCAAAGAGGAAGUUAGCUGAAAUGGCUGCUGCGUUAAAGACAUGUGAAACACUUCACAAAGCUGGGGAGCUUGAUGACAAUCUUCUCCCAGUGGGAAAGGACACUGUGCUCCUGUUAGAAGAUUUUGGCUAUGAGCAGGAGGUGGUUGAGGAGGGGCAGGGUAGACCAGGAACAACAAAGAGACGACAGUACUAUAACAAAGAGGUUGCAAUGUGUCUGAAAAGUUGCCACCCUUCGAUCAAUCAACCAUGCCAUCUUUAUGAGAUCCACAUGUCCCUUGCCUCUCCGUUGCCAGAGGUACUGAAUGUGCGUGAUCGAAAGUUGCAUGUCCCAGAGGAGACCACACAAUGCUUUGGAAUACUCACCACGAAGAUCAUUCCCAAGAUACCAGGUUUUCCAGUCUACACACGAGCAGGUGAGUUGGUCAUAUCAGUGGAUCUGUUGACCUCUGACAUCACAGUGACCUCUGACCAGUUGAACCAAUUGCAGCGAUUUCACAGCUGCAUCUUUGCUGAGGUCCUGCGGCUGGAGAAACCUAACCUGGAAUUUGACACUGAGAAGGCUGAAGCCAACUACCUCAUAGCACCUCUCAACAAAAGUGAUGAAGAUCAGAAGCUCCACAUUGACUGGAACUUUUUAAAAACUGUCAGUGAAAGUUCUGGGAUGCUAGACAGGCCACCAAUUCUUCCGGACUACAGUAGAAAUCAGUUUGUCUUUAGUCACGAAGCCUUCGCCGAUGCUGUGGUGACACCAAUCUAUCGUAACAUUGACCAGCCCCAGAGGUACUACAUUGCUGAUAUUUUGAACAAUCUUCCAGUGACAAGUCCAUUCCCUUCGGAGAAGUAUGAGAAGUUCAUUGACUAUUACUUUGAACGGUAUGACAUCCAGUUGUCCAACUACCAGCAGCCUCUGCUGGAUGUUGAUUGCAUGUCAUCCAGGCUGAACCUACUGACCCCAAGAUACCUGAAUCACAAGGGGAAAGCCUUGCCGAUCAGCAAGACACAGAGCAAGAAAAACUACCUCCAGAAAAAGCAAUAUCUGGUACCAGAGCUCUGCUACAUCUACCCUAUUCCAGCGUCGCUCUGGAGGAAAGCAGUCUGUUUACCCAGCAUCCUAUACAGGCUGAAUUCAUUGCUUGUGGCUGAGGAAUUGCGUGUACAGAUCAGCAUGGGGGCAGGAGUUGGAGUGGCAGAGCUGCCACCUGACGUGUACCCGUUUGCUAACAUGACCUUUGGCUGGGAGGGACUGGAAUUGCAGAACCUUGAAAAUCAGAACAAGCAACCUGGAGAAGCAAAGGAUGGUAGCACAGUGGAAAGAACAGGUGGCAGUCCCAAAGGAACUGAGACCAAGCAAGAGAAGAAUGAGAAUUCAAAGUUGAAAGAAAGAACGAGUUGCUGUUUGGAUACAGAAAGCUUGGGUGAAGCUGGAAACAUCACAUUACUGAAGAAAAUGAAUGGUGAAGUCAAGGGGCAGAAAUACCUUGACCACAGCACUGUUGGCUUAAACAGUAAGACAGUGACAGGAACUGAGCAGGAUGCAAUAGCUAAAGAGAUGUGCAGUAGAGAAGGUCAUAAUGAUGGCUUCAAAUCCACAAUACCUCCUGAGUUAAAUUCAAGCAAUCUAGAGAAGACAGACAAAGCAAAAGUGAACUUGAAAAGUGAGGGUGCACUUGUAAGACACCACAAACUUGAAGUGAGCCCUGCAAGCAGUCGUGAGAAAAUGGCAUGUGCCAGUUCUCCAAGUGAAGGAUAUUGCAGAUGCUUGCAAGAGAGAAAUCAGAAUGAAUUUGAUGAGGCUUCAAGGGGCAGAGGAGGCUACACAUUGAAGCUCAGUGUUUUAGAUGAUCAAGGUCAUGAUCCAGCCAGUCUGCCAGGUCCCAGCCCCACUACCAUCCUCCAGUCCCUGACUAUGUCCAACUCCAGUGAUGGGUUCAACCUAGAGAGGCUAGAGAUGCUGGGAGACUCUUUCCUCAAACAAGCUGUCACCAUCUACCUGUAUUGCACUUAUCCCCGGCGCCACGAGGGCAAGUUGAGCUACAUGCGCAGCAAGCAGGUCAGCAACUUUAAUCUGUACCGUCUUGGCAAGGGAAAGGCCAUCGGGCAGAAAAUGCAGGUUGCUCUCUUUGAUCCUGCAAUCAACUGGCUGGCUCCGUGCUUCUCUGUCAAGGAGAAUGCUCCUACUGAAGAACAGCCAUCAUAUAAGUCUUACCAGAAAGAGGGUAGUGACUUAUCUUCAGAUGAUGGGGAUUUUGCCAUCGACACGUGGGACCCAAGCAGUGUGGAUAUGUGGGACUCCAAUGCAGUCAUUGAGGAGGAGACAGCACCUGAUUUUGAAAUACCCAUGAUGACUAAAGAAGACAUGGAUAGUGAUUUCAGUGAUGAGGAUCCCACUUACCAGUAUCCAGAUAGGAGCUUUCGCUCUCUAGACCCUUGGACCUUCUCCCUGGAGGAUGCAGAUAACCUCCCUGGCUUGACAUACACUGGCAGAAAGCCGGACGACAUGGGAGACCUUCCUGAGCUACCUUAUGAAAUUCACACCCAGCACAACCUCUCCGAUAAGAACUUGGCCGACUCUGUGGAGGCACUUAUAGGCUGUUACCUCAUAUCUUGCGGUUUCCGCAGUGCACUCAUCGUAAUGUCUUGGUUUGGAUUGCGUGUGCUACCACAGAUUUGUGAGGGUGCUCCUUGUGAUUCUGAAGCCAAGGUAGUUGAUGAGCUAGUCACGUGGGAACAAGAGUACUCCGAGAAUCAGAAUAACUGCAAGAAGCCUCAAGCUCGCUAUGGUUACCUGAAGCAACCAGAAUCGCCAUUCUUCAGAAAUGUCUCUGAUGCUGAAGAGAGGUUAAAUCAUCUUCUAGUGGGCAUGGAUGACUUUGAGCAAACCAUCAAGUACAGCUUCAGUGACAAGGCUUACUUAGUGCAGGCCUUCACACAUGCUUCCUACCACUACAACUGUGUCACUGAUUGCUAUCAAAGGCUAGAAUUUCUUGGGGAUGCUAUCUUAGACUACCUCAUUACCCGGCAUCUCUUUGACCACCAUCAGGACCUUUCGCCCGGGGCUUUGACUGACUUGCGCUCAGCCCUCGUCAAUAACACCAUCUUCGCUUCCCUAGCCGUCAAGUUUGGCUACCAUAAAUACUUCAAGGCGCUUAGCCCUGAGCUUUUCCAUGUUAUCGACAACUUUGUAACCUUUGUGAAGGAGAAGAAGGAGGCUCUGGGCAUGGGUUCACAGGUAGAAACACUGACAGUGUUGUCUAGUUAAAAGUGCUGGAUGUGGAAGGCCUUCCAGGACACGAGGAUGAGAGUGAAGACAUUGAGGUACCCAAAGCACUAGGAGACAUCUUUGAAUCAGUAGCUGGAGCUGUGUAUCUGGAUAGCGAACAAUAUGCAGCAAGUUUACCGAUUUCACCUGUGAGAGAGCUUCUGGAGAUGGAGCCAGAAACAGCAAGA
rnacentral:misc_RNA from 1 species